AACUCUCAACCCCCCUGUUUUGUAAUGAGACGGGCGUGGGCUUGGUUUAUGGUUGUCUGUCGGCGUAAGUCGGCUCAACUGAAAUAUACGAGCAACCCUUUUAAAAUAGACGGCUUGACUCGGCGUAAUAAUUAUUUCGCUGAGGACGUCUUCUUUAAAGUCAGUGGUGCUACUAGCGCUACGCCUUCGGGUGUAACUUUCAA
rnacentral:misc_RNA from 1 species